rnacentral:rRNA from 1 species
CAGGCCUAACACAUGCAAGUCGAGCGCCCCGCAAGGGCAGCGGCAGACGGGUGAGUAACACGUGGGAAUCUACCUUUUGCUACGGAACAACUCCGGGAAACUGGAGCUAAUACCGUAUGUGCCCUUUGGGGGAAAGAUUUAUCGGCAAGAGAUGAGCCCGCGUCGGAUUAGCUAGUUGGUGGGGUAAAGGCCUACCAAGGCGACGAUCCGUAGCUGGUCUGAGAGGAUGAUCAGCCACACUGGGACUGAGACACGGCCCAGACUCCUACGGGAGGCAGCAGUGGGGAAUAUUGGACAAUGGGGGCAACCCUGAUCCAGCCAUGCCGCGUGAGUGAUGAAGGCCCUAGGGUUGUAAAGCUCUUUCACCGGUGAAGAUAAUGACGGUAACCGGAGAAGAAGCCCCGGCUAACUUCGUGCCAGCAGCCGCGGUAAU